rnacentral:lncRNA from 1 species
GCAAGAAUUUUCAAUUCCACAUUUUCAUCGACUUCCUCUAUGUCUCUUUUGGUAGUUUUUCUUUCUCCUAAUUUUGCUCAAAUUUUUGUUUGUCAUACUCUAUUAUAUUGCUUUCAGUCUAUUUAUGAUUGUCUCUGACUGCUUUUUCUGUGUUUUUUUCUGUGAGUUCCAAUUAAGAUUUAUUUUCUCCUUUUAGUUGAUAUAUAUUGAAAAAUAUUGAACAUAUAUGCAUAUGUAUUUGAGAGUUUUUUUCUUUAAAAUUUUUCAAUUUCAAAUCUAAAAAAAGUGUAGAUGGUGUGCUUCAUAUCAUUUAGUUUUGGUUCUGGUGUGUUUUUCUCUAUUUUUGUUUUUCUCUUUACAUGCAAUUAUUAUGAAGAAAUUUUAGUAUCUGUUUGUUUCUCUGUAUCAUGAGUUGCUUUUUGUUGGAUUUCACAUGCGGCCAGGUAACGAUACCCAAUUUGCAUCAUAUGCAUCUAGGGUGUUUGAUAAUAUAUCUAAAUCAACUAUUUUUUAAAAAAGGUACUUGCUUUUUCCUAUUGCUCUGAACUUUCUUUGUUCUCACUUUGAAUUUCAAGGUUAUUGUUGUUGUCGAUUCUUCUUUUUGUCACAUUAUUGUAGUGCUUCAAUUACCUCAAUACUUUUAUUUAUUGUAUCUAUUUUUUGUAUCUUUAAUGCUUUACACAUAUCUACAUCUGCUCACUUUAUUAGUGGAAUAGAUUUAACAUAAAAUCAAAACUUAAACAGAUAAAGUUCAUUACACAUUAUCAAAAUAGUACACUAGAUAAAAUCUAAGUACUCAAAUCCCAAACUUGUUCAUUGUCAUCAUUGAUGGCAAAGAAACUGUUGACGCUAAUACCAUUCGGGAUAUCCCACAUAAUAGAACCGUAGUCCUUAGCUGGUAUAGAAGACAAGUCUACGAAUUCAUUGUCUAGCACUUUGUCAACUCCAUUCAGACUUCGGUUUAUUCUAUUGUGUAAUGCUCCUUCUUCGAGAUUAAUGUAGGAUCUUCAUUAUUUUAAUUUUCUUUUUGCUUUCUGGUUGGAGUUGUUCCUUUUUAAUAAUUUGUAAAAAAUUCUCUUAAAUACCAAUCUUCUGUGAAUGUUGUAACAAGGAGUCCCUGAUGAAGAGAAUCUUUCUCAUGCAUCUUAAUUAGUCGGACUAACUCUUUGAUUAGUGGGGACAACAAAGGAGCUGCGGCAUGGUUUAUGGAAGACUGGUUUGAUCAGAAAAAUAUUGAACCAGCAAAGUUUAAUCCAUCUAAAGUGCGCAAACUUCCUCGAAGAAGUCUCAAACACCAUACCAACUGUUAGUGCGAAGCUGUUAAGCUUUCACCAUGAAAACUAACGUUGAGCUUCUUCAAUGUCUAAGAGAGAAAGAAAUGGGAAGUAUGUUUUUAUUCCAAAAAAAUUUGUUAGAGAAUGUACAAUCAGUGAUAUAUAUAGUACAAACUUACUUCUAAUGCCUAAUUGUGGUAUUGCAUCUAAUCUACUAAUUACACCACUAACUAACUGUGAAUUACAAAUUCUUGGUGACAGCUCACAUACAGCUAUCCUUAGCACAUGCUUCUCACGUGAUACCUUUAAUACUCCCCUCAAGCUGUGUAAUGGAAAUAGGUUGAACAUUUCAAGUUUUCCCAAUAAGAAUUCAUGUUGUGCCUUUCCUAAGCUCUUUGUAAGUCUGCCAGUUGCAUUGUAGUGGAUAUGUGUUGUGUACCAGACCAUCUUGAAUCUUUUCCCUAAUAAAAUGACAGUCGAUUUCUAUAUGUUUAGUUCGUUCAUAGUAAAUUGGAUUUGCAGCAAUUUGAAAUGCUGCUUUGCUAUCACAAUACAGCGUCACUGGUAAUUCCUUAAACAAUCCAACCAACCACAUUAUUUCUGCUACUUUAUUAGCCAUACUUCUAUAUUCAGCUUUAGCCGAGCUCCUAGAUAUUGUAUUUUGCUUCUUGGAUUUACAAGAAAUGAGUGAUCCUCCCAGCUUCAUAAGAAAACCACUCACUGACCUCCUACUCAUAAGACAAGUACCCCAAUCAGCAUCACAGUAAACUGGCAAGUGUGAUGAAAUUUCUGAUGACAACAUAAUACCAAGCCCUGGUGCAGUCUUCAAGUACCUUACUACCCUCAUGGUUGCCUCCAUGUAGGAUUUCUUCGGACUAUGCAUGAACUGAUAUAAGUUUUGGACAACAAAACUAAUGUCUGGCCUAGUCAUUAUCAAAUACAACAACUUUCCAACUAGUUUCUCGUAACCUCUCGGAUCUAUGAGCAAUGCAUCUGGUAAAUUUGUUUCACAACCUUGAUCAAAUUCUGUACUAGUCAACCUUUGAUUCUACUCUAAAGGUAUGCUAGAAGGUUUUGAACCUGCUAAUCCUACAUCAGCAAUCAAAUCCAAGGCAAAUUUUCUUUGACAUACCAAAAUGCCUUGUGGAUUUCUAGCAAUUUCAAGACCAAGAAAGUACUUCACCUCCCCUAAAUCCUUGAUCUUUAAAUGAUGUUGUAGCAAGAGCUUAGCUUCCUGAAUUAGAGAGGAGGAAGAACCAGUAAUCAACAAAUCAUCAACAUAAACAAGAACUAGACCAAGUCUGCACCAUUGGUCUUCUCAAAUAGGGAAUAGUCAUGAUGACUCUGUAGAAAACCUGAGAUAAUGAGAGCUUCACUAAGUUUCAAGUUCCAGUUCCUUGAGGCUUGUUUCAAGCCAUAAAAUGAUUUCUUAAGUUUGCAAACUAAAGGUUGUUCCCCGUUCCCCCUUGAUUAAAAGACCAGGGGGUAGAGACAUGUAGACAUUUUCUACCAAAUCACCCUGAAGGAAUGCAUUGAAAACAUUCAUCUGGUGUAAUCUCCAAUUGUGCAUAGCUGCAAGAGAUAAAACUACCCUCACUGUGACCAUCUUAAGUACAGGAGAAAAGGUCUCCUGAUAGUCAAGACCCUCUUGUUGAGUGUACCUUAUAGCUCCUAGUUUGGCCUUAUAUCUUUCCACUAGGCCUUGAGCAUUAAAUUUAGUUUUGAACACCCACUUGUACCCAAUGGCCCUCUUAUCAGAAGGAAGGGGAACUAAAUCCCAAGUUUGAUUAUGACUAAGGGCAUGUAAUUCUUGAUUCAUAGCAUCUACCCAUAAAGAGUGAUACAGUGCUUCUUCAUAAGAAUCUGGCUCUUUAAUAGUAGAAAAAUUACAAAGUGUAUGAUAAUAGGAAUUUGACAAAGCAGCAUAAGACAUAUAAUUGGACAAAGGGUAUGCAUAUGUAAAUGAUGAUGGUUUAGAAGAUCUGUGGAUGAAGUCAUUCAACCAAGAUGGUGUUUUUGAGGCUCUGGAUGACUUUUUAGUCCCAACAUGACUCUCAUGAACAGGUGGAAAGACUCCACUAGCAACAUCUCUACUUGGUGAAGGAACAAGUGAUACCACAGGAGCAUGAAAUUCAGGAAGAAUCACUGGUUCUGGUUAUGCAGGUGGAUUAUGAGAUCCUAUAUCAUCAGUGACCAUAGUAAAAGGAUCGUAAAGUCCAGCCAUUGGUUAUGGACAUGAUGGCUGAGGUCUCAAGCCCUGAGAAAUUUCUUGAGGAUUGUGCUUAAAUGGGAACACAUCCUCACUGAAAGUCACAUCCCUGCUGAUAAAAAAAGCUUUGUUAGUUAUGUCAUACAACUUAUAUCCCUUCUGUGUUGCAGAGUAUACCAUGUGGACAGCUUUCACAGCUCUUGCACCAAAUUUUUCAUUCUUAUGACCAACAUUGGUAGCAUAACAUAAGCACCCUAGGACCCUGAGAUGUUGUAUGUUUGGUUUCCUUCCAAAGAAGACUUCAAAGGGUGAUUGACCUUUCAAAGCAGUAGAUAGGAUCCAAUUGAUCAAAUAAGCAGCAUUUUGGACACAAAUACCCCAGAAUUUUAAAGGUAUAUCUGCUUGAAAUCUGAUAGCCCUGUCCACUUCCAAUAAUUGUCUGUGCUUUCUUUCCACCACCCCAUUCUAUUGGGAUGUGUAGGCACAAGAGUUUUGAUGGAUAAUCCCAGCUAAAAUAAAUAAAUCUUUGCAAACAGAAUUAAAAUUUUUUGUGUCAUUAUCACUUCUAAACACUUUAAUAGAACUAUCAAACUGAGUAUGCACCAACUGUAGAAAAUUCUUUAUUAUAACAGAAAUAUUAUUUUUCAGUUUAAGCAAGUAGAUCCAAACCAUUCUACUACAAUCAUCUACUAAUGUGAUAAAGAAUCGAUGCCCAUCAUGGGUAGAAACUCUGUAAGGGCCCAGACAUCCCCAUGAACAAGAUGAUACAUUUUACUUGCUCUACUAGUACUUUGUGGAAAUGGCAGCCUAGUUUGUUUAGCUAGAGGACAAACUGAACAUAACCUAGUAAUAUCCAUGUUAUUUAGUCUUAUUACAUCCAUUUGAUGCAUUAUUUUGUGAGGGACAGCCCUAAUCUCUUAUGCCACAAAUCACUUAUAUCAACUGCAUUGAGAGCCACAAAGUUCUUCUUCACUUAUUCUCUUGGAUCACCAUUCCAGUAAUACAAUCCACCUAUCAGUUUACCAGUCCCCUUCACCACUCUAGUGUGAAGGUCAUGCAGUAAGCAAUAAUCAGGAUGGAAUAUCAUAGAGCACCCUAAUUCUCUAGUCAAUUUGGAAACUGAAAGUAAAUUGACUUGAAAAUCAGGAACACAAAAGACAUUACUGAUCUCUGCUUGUCCCAAUUUGUUUUUACCAAUAUAUAAAAUAGGAAUACUAGUCCCAUUAGGCAAGAGAAUGUUGUCAAUCCCUUCUGUUGUUUUUUCAGUAGUAAUAGAGAGUUUUGUAGGAUUACAUACCAUAUGAUUGGUUGCUCCUGUAUCCACUAUCCAAUCAUCUGUAUAUUUAUUAGCCAUAAAAGCACAAACGGUACCUGCUACAUUUGCAGAUGAUGCAGAAUCAGUUCCUUUGCCUUUUUCUAGCAUCUUUUAUACUUGAGCAUACUGAUUUGGUGUGAAUGUCAUAGUUAUUCCUUCUGGAUUUCCAAUUUCUGUUGUUUUAGCUGUAUGACCACUUGUAGAGUGAUCAACAAAACCUGGCACAUAACCUCUAAAAUUGCCAAUACCAGGUCCUUCUUGUGCAGGAAAUUGGCCAUGAUAAACACCAGUCAUGUCAUCCCCAGAAGCUACUGGUGCUACAUUGUGUCCCAGACUAAAAACUUCAGAAAACCUUCCAUAUUGCAGAGAUGGAGCAUAAGACGGAGCUCGAAUAGGUGGAGGUUGAUUGCCCCAAGGUUGUGGUGGUCUAAAACCAUCAAAGUAAGUAUCAUUCACUACAUGUUUCCUUCUUUCUUUGUAAUCAUAUGGAUAUCCAAUAAGUUGGUAACAAUCUUCAGCUCUGUGACCUUUCAUUUUACAAAAACCACAUUGCUCAUCCCAAUUACACUUAGGUUUGCCUUUUGGUUUAGUUUGGUGAGGACGAGGACUAUGACCUCUUGCACUCCACAUUGCGACAAUAUCAUUCCCAUCCCCGAGGUUAAUUGUUCCAGCACCAUAAAAAGCUUUUUGACUCUCAUCCCCAAGGAUUAGUGCAUAUGCCUGAUUCAAAGUUGGCUCGUUUGAUUUCAUCAAGAUCUGACCUCAUGAUUGAGCAUAAGUUUCACUCAAGCUACUAAGAAAUUGAAGUAGACGUUGUUGUUGAAGGUGUUCAACAUAGCUUUUAGAUUUGGGACAACCAUAAUUUGGUGAAGGCACAACUGCAUCAAAUUCUACCCACGGCAGCUUCAAUCUGGUAAAGUAGGUUGAUACGAUGUCGGUUCCCUGUGUAAUUGUUGCAAUUUCUCUGUGUAAUUGAAAAAUUCGCACAAGAUUAACCUUGUCAAAACGUUCUCAGAUCUUCUCAGACAAGAUGAGCAUCUGAUGCAUAUAUGAUUCCACUUAAUAAAUUCAGCAAAACUGUAUUAAUAAUCCAUGAAAGGACUAUUUCGUUAAGUGUAUCCCAGUGCUCCUGUAAUUCCUUCUCAAUUGAACUCUUCGUACAAGUACCGCGUACAAAACCUAAUUUCCUCUUCGCCUGAAGUGAGAUAUACAUCGAUUUCCUCCACAAGCCAUAGUUCUCAGAACCUGUGGGCUAAACUAGAACCAAGACAGAACCAGGAGUAUCCGAUGGACUCACAAAUAAUGGAUGAGUAUUAUCAAUUUUGAUUUCCACCAUGGCUGAAAUGCAGGUGAAAGACGGAAGGAAGAAAUUGCACUAUUUCAAAGAAGAAAGAAAAAAAAGUUCGAAGCUUAAUCGUUUGGCUUUGAUACCAUGUUAAGCUUUCACCAUGGAAACUGAUGUUGAGCUUCUUCAAUGUCUUAAGAGAGAAAGAAAUGGGAAGUAUGUUUUUAUUCCAAAAAAAUCUGUUAGAGAAUGUACAAUCAGUGAUAUAUAUAGUACAAACUUACUUCUAAUGCCUGAUUGUGCUAUUGCAUCUAAUCUCUAAUUACACCACUAACUAACUGUGAAUUACAAAUGCUUGGUGGCAGCUCACAUACAGCUGUCCUUAGCACAUGCUUCUCACGUGAUACCUUUAAUAGAAGCGUAAGUGAUUGUCUCCUUAUCAAGGUGAUGAAUUAUCUUAGUAGAGCUAAAGUGCUGAUUGGUUACUAAUUGAUUGUACCAAGAUUGCACUUUCCUCCACGAAUUUUGCACUUUCUAGGUUGAUGUACUAGUUUUUUUUUCUUUAAACCUCUAUAUAAUACGACUUACAUUAACUUUUGACUUGUCUGAUGUGAGCUAUUCCAGUCGGAAUAUGCUGUGAGGGAGAAAAGGUAGGAGCAGAAGGCUGGUGCCACAUCGUAGUACUUUAGUGAAUCUGAUGGAGUUUGUUGGAAUAAAAGGCUAGAAUGAAAAUAAAGUCUUCUAAAUAUAUUGGUAGAUAGAGGUCUAAAUGUAGAUAUCGUUUGACUCACAUCUAUGUGAAGUGGAAAGUUUUUUCCCCAUUGUGUACGACAUUCUAACUGUAAAAGUAAACAUCAUACUAAACUAGCAAUUUCCGAAGGUUCUGUAUUCUGCACAAUCCAUGGAUGGUCAAGUAACUUCUUAAGGGACAGACGUUAAGAUGAAUCCUUGACCAGCAUGUGUUAUUCCACAUAAUAUUAGUCUACCUUAAACAUAAGUAUAGUAGCCUAUGUGAAAAGUAGCUGAACAAUUGUGAAAAUAACCUGAAUAAUAAAAUGGUUUAAUGUAAAAAAAAAUUAACUGAAUUCUUUUUUCUGGGAUUGCAACUAUCCAUUACAAAAUAAAGAAUUGUUGAUAGAGAUUUAGUUAUGCGAUGUCUUCACCCUGCUCAACAAUAUCAGAUUUAGUGAAUUGCUGGCUACGUACUUGUCAUACUUGCUCUUUUGGCUUCAACACUUAACAACUAUGUAUUAUUGAAUAUCAAGAUGAUGUCCUUGGAAAAUUAAUAUUCGUGUAGUAAGUUAAUUUUUUAUAGUAUUUUGAUGACCAAUGCUAAGUUCUAAGUUCUCUGACGGCGGAGUUGAGAGGCUUAACAAUGAUUUGUUGGUUUUAUUCAGGGUGUUCGGUGCUUGGCGCUCAAGACCUGAGUAUUUUUUCCCGAAAUUGGCAAUUGAGUGAAGGUUAAUGCAGCUUACACCUCGUUGUCAAAACGGAAAGAGGCACAUUUUGAGAACUCAAUUUUCGCUGCGUUCAGACCACAUAUCUCGGAAUUUUUGUUUUUCUAAAAGAAAAUCAGUUUUAUCAAAUAUAAUUUCUUUUUGUGUUUCUGGUGUAGGUGCAUUCUAGGUUCUCUAUGUGUGUCUUGAGUCAUAAUGGUGAAAUUAACACACUUCAAGGCAGUGUGAAGUGGUAAGUUCCUACAGAAUUACAUUUUAUAGUAUAGUAUUCGCAGAGCUUAUUGUAACUUAUUUAAGAUUGAUCUCAAAAAAGCAGUGGUAGUUUAGAUAAUUUGAUUUCCAUGUGAAAAUUGAGAAGGAACUUUAUUGACAUAUUCUAUAAUACGAAUUGUGAGGAUAAGGAGUUGAUAAUUUAGUUUCCAUUAAAAAAUGAGAAGAAAUUUUACUAAUGCGUUGUAUACUACAAAUUGUGAGAAUAAGGAGUUGAUAGUAGUUGCUGCAACUCAUCUCCUUUGAUGGCGCUUUCUUCCCCUUUUCACCACUAAAGGUGACUCCACAUUCUCCACUCCGUUUCUGACUUUGAAAAUGGUGAAAAGGAGGAGGAGCUGGCGCGUGCACUAAUGCACCAUAGCUCACAUCAAAUCCUAAAACGUGCUGAACAAACCAAAAUUUCCUUUUUUUAGGAUUAGCUAACAGUAGAUAAUUCUUUGGUAAAAGUAAAAGGAGGUAACUUAUCAGCAUUCAACAAUAUGAGAAUAGGAAAAGGUAGAGAAGCCUCAAAAUGAGCCACUUUCAAUAAUCCAUAGCAAAUUGGCAUUUUAAAGAACUUAUAUAUGAUUGUACUGUAUAGAAUGAUUAGCCUCAACAAGAGUGGGAUGGACACCUACCAUGUAGUACCUAAUAUUCAUCACAGAUAUUCUAUCAUUCAAAGUGGAGAAAUACCCUCAUACCCUGAUCUAAUUGUCAAUGUAUCCAGUGAAAGGUUCCGCGAAAAGACUUGCAAGGUGGAAGAUACAAUGUUUACAAACAGGGUUAAGGUUAAUGGAUGAUAAAUAUAUUACCUUUUCUUUUCAUAUAGACAAAAACUCUUCAUCCUAGACAGCACCAAUGAAAUGUACAUUAUAUAACCAGUAUUCCAGAUUAAAUUCCAUUCAGAUUCAAUAACCAUUGAAUGUAAUUACUUUUUCUUAUUCCAUAUUGCAGCAUUAAACGGUAGCCCGGUGUAUUAAAAUUCCCUCUUCGCACAGGUCAGGGAAAGGGCCUCACCACAAGGGUGUAUUGUACGCAGCCGUACCUUGCAUUUCUGCAAAAGGCUAUUUUUGAGGCUUGAACCCGUGACCUCCGGGUCACAUGGCAACAACUUUACCAGUUACUCCAAGGCUCUCUUCUCCAUAUUGCAGCAUUAAUAUCCAAAAUAGUCUAGCAAAUCUAAAAGAAUGGUUUGAGACUAAGUCUAUCAACUGUUGUUAGUCUUUGGUGCAAAGCCAUCCAUAUGAUGAAUUGAAUGUCUAGAAAUUAGACCUUUAAUCAUAGCUAAUUGUUUCCAUUCAACACUGGCUUGUUGUGGCAGCAUGGUUUGGCAAGAUUUGCUAAUAUUGUACUUAUCAUUAUUGCAGCAUUUAUGGAGGGCAGCAGUUAUAUCAGUACGAUUGAGGUGCGGAUGCAAGCAACAGUUGUUAAAUGUGGAACUUCAAGUGCAGCACUGCCAGUUGAACUGCUCGCAGCAGCUAAAAAACUGUAACAGGUUAGUAAACUUGAAUUUCAAUCAGAAACUCCUAACACAGAGAAGAAAGAACUUUCAUAUGUGCUCGGAAACUAAUACCUGUACUUUUUUCCCUCUACUAGCUAUUAAAUAGUUAUCUAUGUCCUUUGUAUCAACUUUCAUUUACCUCGUGGAUUUUAAUUCACCACAGGCAAUGCUAAGCACAAAGUAUCACACAACCAGUCAUAUGCUCUAUCAUUUAAUUUAUUUGUUUGGUUUUGAGUAUUUGAAAUGUGACAUUGAAAUGUCACAUUUAAGUAAAAUAAAAGAAAGAUUUUUGAAUGUUUUGGUCUCAAAGCAAAGGAUUGAUGACUAAACAUAUGAGGUUAAGUAUAAUAAAAGAAAGACUUUUGAGUGUUGCAGUCUCAAAAUAAAUGGUAGUUUGUCUUUUGUUACUAAUGGAAGUACAGAGAAGAAACCACAAGGUACUUGCUGUUCAGGCCUUAAAUUGGUGUUGACAACUGAUGCUGACUGUCUUUGUGAAGGCUUUAAGAACAGUGCUUAGUUAGGUGUUGUUCUUAAUGUUACUAUAGCUAUGUCUCUUCCUGCUGCUUGCCAUGUAUCUGCUUCUUUUGUUAGUAACUGUGGAUGUGAGUGCUUUGUUUUCCUUACUGCAUGCUCUUUUUAAGAGGAAUAAAAAAAUAUUAAUAGUAAUAUUAUGUAAUUUUGAGGUUUUAAUUGGUGUUUAAUUUUUUUUGUUUGUGUUUUAUAUUUGUACAGUGAGUACUUACACGGGAGCUGCUCCUGGUACGUACAGAUCUGGCUUUUAUUGUAUUUUUAGUUUCUUUUUGUGUCGGUUUGACUGUGGUAAUAUUAAGAGUAAUAUUAUGUAAUUUUGAGGUUUUAAUUGGUGUUUAAUUUUUUUGUUUGUGUUUUGUAUUCGUACAGUGAGUACUUACACGGGAGCUGCUCCUGGUACGUACAGACCUGGCUUUUAUUGUAUUUUUAGUUUCUUUUUGUGUCGGUUUGACUGUGGUCUCUGUUUGGAUUAAAAACACACCCUUAGGGAUCGUUUGGUGUCCGGUAUAAGUAGUUCAAAUAAAGGAUUAUUUUAUCCAAUGUUUGGUUGGAGAUAUUAGUUAACACCGGAAUAACUUAUCCCACCAUUUACACCAUGAUGAUGGGGGGUUAAGUUAUCCCGGUACAGGUUUUCCUUAACGAUAUUGCAUUUGUUUGCUAAUUAAAUAUAUACAUACACCACCAAGUCUACUACUUCCGAUUUUUUGAGUUCUUGCUGCAUUUGUUAGUUCCAUUUGUUGUUAUUAUUGUUAAUUUGAUGACAUUUCACAUCUCUGUUGCAGCACAUUUAACUCGAUAAUGAAGCAUCCUGCUGGUUCCUUCACCAAACAAGGUGUUGAAGUAGACAAAAUGCAAUUUUUUAAGUAAAAUAUAUCACU